CUUGACUGCUCGUCUAUAAAUUUGAACCUUUUCUUUCUAAGUUGUGUUCUUUUUGAGAGACGAAGAUUUUUGGUUGCAGGUCUGUUGUAAUCAUAAAGUGGAGUUCAUAUUCACGAUGAAGGGUGUUAAUUUGGUUCUUCUGUCCUGCCUUGUCUUUACAAAGACUUUGACAUCUAAUCUUGAGUUGACGUACGAGGAUAACACACUCGGAGUUUGCAUACGAUCCAUCAAAUCCCUUUGCAAAAUCCAACCAGACGAUUUUCUCAUAGAUAGGUGUAUCGCAUGCUUUGAACAAUUUGAUAACGAAACAGCAUGUAAGAAUACCUAUCAUUGCAGAUUUGAUACAGAAAAGGGAUUAUGUUUAUUUUAAGUAAUAAAUAUCAUCAAUAAGA